AGAGUUUGAUCCUGGCUCAGGAUGAACGCUAGCGGCAGGCCUAACACAUGCAAGUCGAGGGGCAUCACGAGGUAGCAAUACUUUGGUGGCGACCGGCGCACGGGUGCGUAACGCGUAUGUAACCUACCUAUAACAGGGGCAUAACACUGAGAAAUUGGUACUAAUUCCCCAUAAUAUUCGGAGAGGCAUCUCUCCGGGUUGAAAACUCCGGUGGUUAUAGAUGGACAUGCGUUGUAUUAGCUAGUUGGUGAGGUAACGGCUCACCAAGGCAACGAUACAUAGGGGGACUGAGAGGUUAACCCCCCACACUGGUACUGAGACACGGACCAGACUCCUACGGGAGGCAGCAGUGAGGAAUAUUGGUCAAUGGACGCAAGUCUGAACCAGCCAUGCCGCGUGCAGGAAGACGGCUCUAUGAGUUGUAAACUGCUUUUGUACGAGGGUAAACUCACCUACGUGUAGGUGACUGAAAGUAUCGUACGAAUAAGGAUCGGCUAACUCCGUGCCAGCAGCCGCGGUAAUACGGAGGAUUCAAGCGUUAUCCGGAUUUAUUGGGUUUAAAGGGUGCGUAGGCGGUUUGAUAAGUUAGAGGUGAAAUCCCGGGGCUUAACUCCGGAACUGCCUCUAAUACUGUUAGACUAGAGAGUAGUUGCGGUAGGCGGAAUGUAUGGUGUAGCGGUGAAAUGCUUAGAGAUCAUACAGAACACCGAUUGCGAAGGCAGCUUACCAAACUAUAUCUGACGUUGAGGCACGAAAGCGUGGGGAGCAAACAGGAUUAGAUACCCUGGUAGUCCACGCAGUAAACGAUGAAUACUAGGUGUCGGGGCUCAUAAGAGCUUCGGUGCCGCAG
rnacentral:rRNA from 1 species